GACAGCUAGGAUGUUGGCUUAGAAGCAGCCAUCAUUUAAAGAAAGCGUAAUAGCUCACUAGUCGAGUCGGCCUGCGCGGAAGAUGUAACGGGGCUCAAAUAUAGCACCGAAGCUGCGGCAUCAGACGAAAGUCUGUUGGGUAGGGGAGCGUUCUGUAAGCGGAUGAAGGUGGCUCGAGAGGGCUGUUGGACGUAUCAGAAGUGCGAAUGCUGACAUAAGUAACGAUAAAACGGGUGAAAAACCCGUUCGCCGGAAGACCAAGGGUUCCUGUCCAACGUUAAUCGGGGCAGGGUGAGUCGGCCCCUAAGGCGAGGCUGAAAAGCGUAGUCGAUGGGAAACGGGUUAAUAUUCCCGUACUUGGAUAAACUGCGAUGUGGGGACGGAGUAGGUUAGGUUAUCGCACUGUUGGAUAUGUGCGUUUAAGUUUGUAGGUGUGAAGUUUAGGCAAAUCCGGACUUCUAUAACACUGAGAGAUGAUGACGAGGCUCUACGGAGCUGAAGUAACCGAUACCACACUUCCAGGAAAAGCCACUAAGCUUCAGGUUUAUCUAAACCGUACUGAAAACCGACACAGGUGGUCAGGUAGAGAAUACUCAGGCGCUUGAGAGAACUCGGGUGAAGGAACUAGGCAAAAUAGCACCGUAACUUCGGG
rnacentral:rRNA from 1 species